GAACAGAAGCCCUCACACACUAGCAAAUUCACCUUUCCAAAAACUGUCCUAGGCCAGUUUGCUUCCUCCGUAGAGAGAUGUCCACCAGAAACAACAAAUGCUGGCAUGCACCAGGCAUCAGCCCUCUGUAAUAUAGCUACUCACUCAUUUGAUUCUCCAAACAUACUCAACUGUAGUUUGACCCUGGAUGCCAUUAAUGCAUGGGUUUCUGGAGCUACUCCUGAACAAAAACAGAACUUAGCCUCCAGCACCCAGAUCCUCACAUCCAUACCAGAACGGCUAACACCCCACAACAUCACAAAUGCAGCUCAAAUAACCAACAUCCUGCUUUCUGACCAACAAACUACACACACUACGAUGCUGCAGGAUGAAGUGCAGUCCCAUGUUCACCGCAUCAUCCACAGACCUGUUUGCUUGAUAAGCAAACUGCAGGAGGUCCAGUGAUGUCCUUCAGACAAGCUAACAGAGGGGAGUUGAUGGAGGUGUUAAUGUUUGUAUAAUGAGAUGGUCAGAAUGGUGCUGGGGUGUAAAACCAGGACUUUUAAAUUAGCAGCCAUCCUAGAGGCAAAAUUGUUUAGAAUGAGGAGAUCUAUCAUAAGAUAUGAAGAUCAAGUGUAUGUAUGAAACAUUUCAGGCCAUUUGCCACAAAAAUACAGUUUUUGCAACUUCAAACCACCGAUGGGAUGAUCUCCAUAAAAGUCUGCAUGAUUCUUUGCAAUGGCACGUCACACACACUCAGCUGAUUUUGUGAUGGUCUAGGCCAUCUGUGAUGGUCUUAGCCCUAUCAUGUGAUUUGCCA